GCCGGUGUGGCGGAAUGGCAGACGCGGCGCACUCAAAAUGCGCUGUCCGCAAGGACGUGAGGGUUCGAGUCCCUCCACCGGCA
rnacentral:tRNA from 1 species